CUUGGCUUCUUUCCCACUCUGCCUCAACACUGAAGGAAUUGACAUGAAGGAUUUCCUGCCAGAAGAGGAGUGAACUGAAUUAGACUCCCCUUCAAAGGGACAUUGGGCUGCUACCAGGUGUGGAAUGAAGUGGUUUACUCCUCAUAAAAACUGGCAGAAUUUGAGCAGCAGAAAUUGCAGGAUUUAAGAGCCCAUCAUGUGUUCAAGACUGGUCCAGAAAAAAGAAGGAAAGAAAGAAAAAAAAAAAAAACCUGAUCCAGAAAAGUAAUCACUCAGAGGAAUGCUGACAAGUAAAAAAAUAGAAGGGAUGCACUAUGCCACCCUCUGAAAGUCUUGGGGGAGAGCUGCAGCAAAAUGCUUUCAAGAGUCUUCAUCUCUGUUUGGAAAUGAAACACCACACCAUGUGCCUGUCAGGCAGACAUCUGGCAUGGGGACUACUGCACCGACUCGUCAUGAAGCUCUGGCACAAAAAGAAAGCCAAGAAGAGCCCAGUGAGAAGCCCCAUUUAGAAGCAGCGACCACUGGAGCGGAAAUAAGCAAUGGAAAAGCUGGUUUGGUUUUGAAUCCUGGGACUGAGAAAACAUUUGGGAAGCCAUCACUGCCUGCAGCCAGCUCCAUCACCUGGGAGACAAAAGGCGAACAGGACAGGAGACCAUGACCUAUGAAUAGCUCUUAAUUAUCUUUGGGAAAGAGGGAUGGGGAGAACAUGGAAACUGGACAGUUUCUCAUAAUAGAUCAUAAUUAAUCAAUACAUCAAUCAAAAGCAGAUCACUGUACAAAGUGUUUGGGGGGAACAGAAACUUGUUGUGGGCAGAGAAUAUGUCUCAUGUUAUUAUAUUUUACUCUCCCAAGCACUUAGUAUAAUGCUCUCUGCACACAGUAAGCACUCAAUGAAUACAAUUGACUAAUUGACAAAUGGGUUAAAGGGACUGAUCCUAGCCCUCAAUGAACUUACAGUCUUUGGGUAUAAAGGCAUUUUACUAAAUUACAGAUACAAAACUCCCCAGACCAUCCAGAAUGAUGCCAGAGGUGAGGAAGCCUACUUCUGGGGAGGAACUGGGGAGGGGUGAGAAGUUUCAGAAGAUGUAAAAAGAAGUCCAGGGAGGCAGUGGUAUUUACCCUGUGGACUGGAGUCCACUGGUCCCUACACCAAUGUAAAGGAAGCCAAUAAACUGAAUUGUUUUGGACCUC